GUUGCUUUCAAACUCCGCGGGGGGUUGGACGGACGUACCUUUCCCACGCCAGUUUUUUGAAGAGACCCCGCUCCCACUUUUCGUCAUGGAUGUAGAGUAAGACGCGAGAAUGAUCGUAGUAGAGUAAGGGGCGAGAUUUACUAGCAGGGACCACUCGUGAGGCCGGAGGAAAGUAAUGUUACUCUAUUCAGAAAUACUCUCAGCUGCUCUCCCAUCCCGAGAUGGCUAAAGAACGAUGUAGUUUUUGUUCAACACAUGACAUCGUCGACAGCUCUGCGUUAGUACUCCCACCGCUCUUGGUCGUAAAGUUCUCCGGAUAAAAACCGCUACGACAGUUGUUGAUUACACAUCUACUAUAAACCAUCGUGUUCAUUCAGCAACGUUGGGUUAAGCUCUUUCGACUAUUUGAAAACAUCUCCUGCUGAAUUGUAACUUCUUCAUUUAAAGUUUUUUAAUAUGUAUUCAACAUUUUUACUUAU